rnacentral:rRNA from 1 species
AGUAAAUAGAUACCCGGGUAGUCCACGCCGUAAACGAUGAGUACUAGGUGUAGGAGGUAUCGACUCCUUCUGUGCCGCAGUUAAACACAAUAAGUACUCCGCCUGGGAAGUACGGUCGCAAGAUUAAAACUCAAAGGAAUUGACGGGGGCCCGCACAAGCAGCGGAGCAUGUGGUUUAAAUUCGAAGCAACGCGAAGAACCUUACCUAGACUUGACAUCCCCUGAAUAACGUAGAGAUACGCGAAGCCCUUCGGGGCAGGGAGACAGGUGGUGCAUGGUUGUCGUCAGCUCGUGUCGUGAGAUGUUGGGUUAAGUCCCGCAACGAGCGCAACCCUUAUCAUUAGUUGCUACCAUUUAGUUGAGCACUCUAGUGAGACUGCCCGGGUUAACCGGGAGGAAGGCGGGGAUGACGUCAAAUCAUCAUGCCCCUUAUGUCUAGGGCUACACACGUGCUACAAUGGUGAGAACAACGAGAUGCAAUACCGCGAGGUGGAGCAAAACUUCAAAACUCAUCUCAGUUCGGAUUGUAGGCUGAAACUCGCC